rnacentral:rRNA from 1 species
ACAUACGACCAUAACAUCUAGAGAACUCGGGAUCCCGUCCGCUCUCCCCUAGAUAAGCUAGAUAGGGCCGGAUUAGUAGUUGGGUCGGUGACGACCAGCGAAUCCCUGGUGUUGUAUGUU